GCCAGCAUCAUCUAGUGGCUAGGAUACCUGAUUCUCAAUCAGGCAACGCGGGUUCGAGUCCCGCUGCUGGCU
rnacentral:tRNA from 1 species